GUCGAGACUCAAUCUCUAAUGACGUCACAGGCACACAAUUUGUAUGGCGUUGUCAUGACGUUACUGUCUCAGACUCUAUUAGAGGCUUGAGUCUAGACUCUAAAAGUUUUAUAAGCACAAGGCCUGGUUUCGCUGAAAGCUGCAUGAUGGUACUUGAGAAGCCGAAGAUAUCUUAGCCAAUAUUGGAUUUCGAACUGGCCCUGAAAAUAACAAGUCUUGACAGGGCCAUGAUACCACCAUUUGUACCAAGUGUGACUGACAUCUGCCUGGGGCAACAUGACUCGACCACACCUAAACUUCUUUCGCCACAGUUUAGGCCCUACCCCUCCCCCCCCCCCCCCCCCCCCCACUCUCCCCGCAUAAAUUUCUGCACGAGCACUUGUAGGCCCUGGGCCCUGGCGUAGCCAGAGAGGAUAAAAACGCUACAGCAAACCCAGACCUGUUAAAUAAAUAUCAGUGUCAUGGGGAAAAUAAAAUAAAUCUGUGGAAAUUCCAGACAAGGCAAGCGCCUCGUCUGCCUCAUGCUUGCUACGCCAUUAAGACCCCUAAUAAUAUUUAAUGAUUCAAUAUUUUAAUAAAAAAUGUAACAGUUAUUUUAAUAAUUUUAUACAAUAAAGAAUUAAAACUGCUUUAAAUUGUUUCGUAUUCAACACAUUGGCUUUUUAGAUACCCUGUCAACACCAUAAUGGAAAGAUUUUAUUCAAUAAAAAGUGGGGUUUUU